UGAGGAAUAUUGGUCAAUGGACGCAAGUCUGAACCAGCCAAGUAGCGUGCAGGAUGACGGCCCUAUGGGUUGUAAACUGCUUUUAUAUGGGGAUAAAGUGGGGAACGUGUUCCCUUUUGCAGGUACCAUAUGAAUAAGGACCGGCUAAUUCCGUGCCAGCAGCCGCGGUAAUACGGAAGGUCCAGGCGUUAUCCGGAUUUAUUGGGUUUAAAGGGAGCGUAGGCCGUUUGGUAAGCGUGUUGUGAAAUGUAGGAGCUCAACUUCUAGAUUGCAGCGCGAACUGUCAGACUUGAGUGCGCACAACGUAGGCGGAAUUCAUGGUGUAGCGGUGAAAUGCUUAGAUAUCAUGAAGAACUCCGAUUGCGAAGGCAGCUUACGGGAGCGCAACUGACGCUGAAGCUCGAAGGGGCGGGUAUCGAACAGG
rnacentral:rRNA from 1 species